CAUUUUAUGUGUAUGUGAGGAACACGAGAAUGACGAGAAUGAGGGUAAGUCCGAUCAAGGACAGUAGUGGGAGACUGUGUAUUGAGUCGGAAGAGAUAGGAGAGGUCUUGAAUGAGUACUUUUC